rnacentral:rRNA from 1 species
GGACAUCUAAUUUGAAUCAAAGGUUCACCGGCUAUAGGAUGGGGAUGCGUCUGAUUAGCUUGAUGGCGGGGUAACGGCCCACCAUGGCGACGAUCAGUAGGGGUUCUGAGAGGAAGGUCCCCCACAUUGGAACUGAGACACGGUCCAAACUCCUACGGGAGGCAGCAGUGAGGAAUAUUGGUCAAUGGGCGUAAGCCUGAACCAGCCAAGUAGCGUGCAGGAUGACGGCCCUAUGGGUUGUAAACUGUCUUUUAUGCGGGGAUAAAGUCGGCUACGCGUAGCCGUUUGUAGGUACCGCAUGAAUAAGGACCGGCUAAUUCCGUGCC